rnacentral:lncRNA from 1 species
GGGACAUCGAAGCUCAGAGACUGGCAUGGAGGGCUGCCCACCCCCGCCUAUAAAAAGAGAAGCCCCUAGGAAAGGCAUCGACAGCCCACCCAGAGCAGUGUCUCUGAUGAGGAAGGACCAGUGUGGACGCCAGCAUUCUUCCUGGAGCAGCAUCUGUCUGGACAGAGUUGUUCUCUGCUGGUGCCAGCCCUGACAUCAUCCUGCAAGCUUGUCACACCGGUUCCUAUCCAGCUACAAAGGCCUCUCCUUGCUCCCUGCUCACACCAGCCAGCCCAUCAUGGACUGCUGUAUUGCAUAUAUCUGCGCGGCAUCAUGGUGAGGCUGGAUCUCCAGGGAGGAGACAAGAGGAAAGAGAGAGGAGCCUUUCUGACUUAGAGGGGCCCUGUAGAUCAUGGCUGAUAGGAAAGCUGGUCAGGGAGCGUGGAGGUAAGGGGCGUUUCAUACUGGAAGGAGCCUGGUCACCACAUGGAGCUAGGCACUGGCCUUUAGGCAGGGUUAAAUUUCAGGGGGCACAGAAUUCAAUGAUAUAAAGAACAUGGCUCCUUACUUCACUGAAUUGCCCUCAAAAUAGCCCUGGAAAAUUUGGGUGGUAAAGCUGCAACAUACACCUUUAAAGAUCCAAGUAGGGAUGUCACACUGACCCAGGCUUCCCUGGCUGGGGAUACUGGUCACAGUGUGAGUUUGGGGACCUUAACUCAGGACUCAGACUUACAGAAAGAAUGUAGGGCUCUUAUGCCGGAUGGGGCUCCCUAGGUGACCAUGUUGCACCUCUGUAGGGACUUCUUAAAGUCAAAUUCAGCCAUACAAGCCCUCCCUGUUGGUGUCAUUGUCAGUGUGCAAUUUGAUGUCCCUCAAGCACUCAGCACCACCUCACCUUGCGUGCCUGUCUACUCAUUUGCCAGGUAAAGGUGGUACCGAGGCCUUCUCCUCCCCCACCCCCCCCCACCCAUCCUAUGCCGUUCUGGGAAUUGAUUCCAGGGCUGUCUAUCACUGAGAUACAUCCUGAGUCCCCUUUGUACAUUAAUUUUGUGACAGAGUCACUA